UACGUAGGGACCAAGCGUUGUUCGGAUUUACUGGGCGUAAAGGGCGCGUAGGCGGCAAAUUAAGUCAGCUGUGAAAUCUCCGAGCUUAACUCGGAACUGUCAGCUGAUACUGAUGUGCUAGAGUGCGGAAGGGGCAAUCGGAAUUCUUGGUGUAGCGGUGAAAUGCGUAGAUAUCAAGAGGAACCCCUGAGGUGAAGACGGGUUGCUGGGCCGACACUGACGCUGAGUGCGCGAAAGCCAGGGGAGCAAACGGG
rnacentral:rRNA from 1 species